rnacentral:rRNA from 1 species
UCAGGACGAACGCUGGCGGCGUGCUUAACACAUGCAAGUCGAGCGGUAAGGCCCUUUCGGGGGUACACGAGCGGCGAACGGGUGAGUAACACGUGGGUGACCUGCCCUCAGCUCUGGGAUAAGCCUGGGAAACCCGGGUCUAAUACUGGAUAUGACUCCAUGACGCAUGUUGUGGGGUGGAAAGCCUUGUGCGGCUGAGGAUGGGCCCGCGGCCUAUCAGCUUGUUGGUGGGGUGANGGCCUACCAAGGCGACGACGGGUAGCCGGCCUGAGAGGGCGACCGGCCACACUGGGACUGAGACACGGCCCAGA